CGGGAGACUUGCUCAGGUGGGAGACUUGAACCACCUCAAAUAUUUGGAUUUAAAUUUCGCGUGACCGGCGCCGUUGACAGCUUGCGUCAUACUCGUACACGAGGCGCGUAUAAUGACGACUCCAGUUUGGCCGGCAUCAGGUCAGUUUUGCAACGAGCGGCGUAAACGGGGUUUCGUGGUAGAAAAGUAAAAAUAUCAACGAUUUUGGAUUUUCGCAUAAAUCAAGAAGUUUUAUAGUGCUAGUGAACGCUGCUUCUGUACCAAGAGAUCAGUUCAGAGUCCAGUUCAAAUCAGUCAGUGUCAAUGUAUUGCGGGGAUGGAACCCGCGACUCUUCGUAUUUAUUAUGGUAGUAUUCGUGAUUCCACUGUUGAUUCUGAUAUACGUGACACGAGUGCUUAAGCUACUGAUCUAGAAGUCAGAUCAAUGUAUGUGGUGUUGAGUGAAAUUAAUUUGUUUAUUAUUCUUUUAAGGAAAAUCAUGCCGUUUCGAUACAAACCCAAGGAGGGUUCUACCCGCAAGAAGUUUACUAAACAGAACUCCAGAAAAAACUGACAAAGUUGAUGUGUAAUUCAUGCAAAAGAUAUUUUCAUGAACAUUGCGUUGGUUGACUGACAAAGACGAAUGUUGAAUGCUUUCUAUGCUGAAUGUUAUUCAAAAGUGUGUGCAUAUUCCUAAUUUUAUAAAAAAUGUUGAUUUGUGUGAUAAAACGACUAAGUAAUACUCUGUUAAAUCAUUUGUGUGUUUUAUUAUUAAAUAUUUUCAAUAAAA